AUGGUGCACCCACAGUUGCGCGUCCACUUGUCCCGCGCAUUGGCACUGAUGUGCAACACCUUGGUUGAUAUGAGAGUGUUGGACGAGUGCCUAUGUCAGAUAUCUGAAGCAUUGGUAAAGGCAGAUUUCACCACUAAGAUGGUCUCGGAGCUGCAGGUAAAGGUGAAGAAAGCUAUGGAUCCCACAGUAACCGGGAGCAAUCAUAGCAUACAUCAGAUUCUCUGUAAGGAGAUAUGCAAGUUAAUUGAUUCAGGAAGAAAGCCAUCAUUUGUCCCCAAGAAGGGGAUGCCAUGUAUUGUGCUGGUGAUAGGUUUCCAAGACUCUGGUAAAACUACAAGCUGUGCCAAGUUUGCGUAUCAUCAUAAACAGAAAGGAUAUAAACCAUCAUUAGUAUGUGCGGAUACCGGAAGCAGUUCACUUGAUCGGUUAAAGCAGAUAGCACAUGAAGCUAAAAUUCCAGUCUAUGGAAGCAACUUGGGAUCAGAUCCUAUUCAGGUUGCUAUUCAGGGUGUGGAGAAGUUCAAAAAGGAGAACUCGGAUCUCAUUAUCAUUGAUACAAGCGGGAGCUACACAUCUAAAGAUGCAUUUUUUGCUGAAAUACAUAAAAUUGAGAAAGCCACGAACCCACAUUUGAUAGUGCUUGUAGUGGACGCUGCAGAUGGCCAAUUUGCAUUUGAUCUGGCUGGGCCCUUUAUAAGAAAUUGCUCUAUUGGUUCUGCUAUUAUCAGCAAAAUGGACCGCCAUCCAUAUGGAGGCGGUACACUUAGCGCACUUGCUGCAGCAAACUGUCCCGUUAUCUUUUAUGGAACUGGAAAAUCGAUUGAAUCAUUUGAAAUCUUCGACGUGAAGGCCUUCACGAGUAAUCUUCUAGAUUACAAGAGUAGGACUUUCACAAUUGACAUCGAAGAUAUGCAUAAUAUGCUGGACAACUUACAAGUAUCUGAGGUUGAAAGAACAAACGCGGUGCGUCAGAUGGAAAAGGCAUGCUUGAAUGCUUAUCACGCUGUUUUGGAGAAGGAGAGGAUGCUGGCUCAGCAGGUUUCUUCUUCAGAAUCAGAAUACAAUAAAAUUUGUGACAUCCUUGGUGAGAAAGAACUGAAGCAUAGCAAAAUCAAGGUUAGCUACAGGUUCCUUAGAAUCAGAAUAAUAUUUGUUCUUCUGCCAUUUACGGUUUUAUUUUCUUUUUUCAGUCCGUCUCUUCAUUAG
rnacentral:rRNA from 1 species